rnacentral:rRNA from 1 species
UGGGGAAUCUUGGACAAUGGGCGGGACCACCUGUCCAGCCAUGCCGCGUGAGUGAUGAAGGCCUUAGGGUCGUAAAGCUCUUUCGCCUGUGAAGAUAAUGACGGUAGCAGGUAAAGAAACCCCGGCUAACUCCGUGCCAGCAGCCGCGGUAAUACGGAGGGGGUUAGCGUUGUUCGGAAUUACUGGGCGUAAAGCGCACGUAGGCGGACCAGAAAGUUGGGGGUGAAAUCCCGGGGGCUCAACCCCGGAACUGCCUCCAAAACUAUUGGUCUAGAGUUCGAGAGAGGUGAGUGGAAUUCCAAGUGUAGAGGUGAAAUUCGUAGAUAUUUGGAGGAACACCAGUGGCGAAGGCGGCUCACUGGCUCGAUACUGACGCUGAGGUGCGAAAGUGUGGGGAGCAAACAGGAUUAGAUACCCUGGUAGUCCACACCGUAAAACGAUGAAUGCCAGUCGUCGGGUAGCAUGCUAUUCGGUGACACACCUAACGGAUUAAGCAUUCCGCCUGGGGAGUACGGUCGCAAGAUUAAAACUCAAAUGAAUUG